rnacentral:rRNA from 1 species
ACGCUGGCGGCGUGCCUAAUACAUGCAAGUCGAACGAGAGCGACCGGUGCUUGCACUGGUCAAUCUAGUGGCGAACGGGUGAGUAACACGUGGGUAACCUGCCCAUCAGAGGGGGAUAACAUUCGGAAACGGAUGCUAAAACCGCAUAGGUCCUUUAACCGCAUGGUUGAAGGAGGAAAAGAGGCGCAAGCUUCUGCUGAUGGAUGGACCCGCGGUGCAUUAGCUAGUUGGUGAGGUAACGGCUCACCAAGGCCGUGGUGCAUAGCCGACCUGAGAGGGUGAUCGGCCACAUUGGGACUGAGACACGGCCCAAACUCCUACGGGAGGCAGCAGUAGGGAAUCUUCCGCAAUGGACGCAAGUCUGACGGAGCAACGCCGCGUGAGUGAAGAAGGUUUUCGGACCGUAAAACUCUGUUGUAGAGAAGAACAAGUGCUAGAGUAACUGUUAGCGCCUUGACGGUAUCUAACCAGAAAGCCACGGCUAACUACGUGCCAGCAGCCGCGGUAAUACGUAGGUGGCAAGCGUUGUCCGGAUUUAUUGGGCGUAAAGCGAGCGCAGGCGGUUCCUUAAGUCUGAUGUGAAAGCCCCCGGCUCAACCGGGGAGGGUCAUUGGAAACUGGGGAACUUGAGUGCAGAAGAGGAGAGUGGAAUUCCAUGUGUAGCGGUGAAAUGCGUAGAUAUAUGGAGGAACACCAGUGGCGAAGGCGACUCUCUGGUCUGUAACUGACGCUGAGGCUCGAAAGCGUGGGUAGCAAACAGGAUUAGAUACCCUGGUAGUCCACGCCGUAAACGAUGAGUGCUAAGUGUUGGAGGGUUUCCGCCCUUCAGUGCUGCAGUUAACGCAUUAAGCACUCCGCCUGGGGAGUACGACCGCAAGGUUGAAACUCAAAGGAAUUGACGGGGACCCGCACAAGCGGU